UACGGGGGGAGCAAGCGUUGUUCGGAUUUACUGGGCGUAAAGGGCGCGUAGGCGGUAGCACAAGUCAGUUGUGAAAUCUCCGGGCUUAACUCGGAAGGGUCAACUGAUACUGUGCGACUAGAGUGCAGAAGGGGCAACUGGAAUUCUCGGUGUAGCGGUGAAAUGCGUAGAUAUCGAGAGGAACACCUGCGGCGAAGGCGGGUUGCUGGGCUGACACUGACGCUGAGGCGCGAAAGCCAGGGGAGCGAACGGG
rnacentral:rRNA from 1 species